AGCAGCCUCCGUAAUUCCAGCUCCAAUAGCGUAUAUUAAAGUUGUUGCAGUUAAAAAGCUCGUAGUUGAAUUUCGGGGUUCUACCGUUGGUCGGGCUUUGUCUGUACUGGCGUGUAGAAUUUCUACCUUCUGGGGAACCAUCAUGUUAUUAAUUUAACGUGGUGGGAAACCAGGACCUUUACCUUGAAAAAAUUAGAGUGUUCAAAGCAGGCUUAUGUCUGAAUACAUUAGCAUGGAAUAAUAAAAUAGGACGGUGGUCCUGUUUUGUUGGUUUCUGAAUCACCGUAAUGAUUAAUAGGGAUAGUUGGGGGCAUUAGUAUUCAAUUGUCAGAGGUGAAAUUCUUGGAUUUAU
rnacentral:rRNA from 1 species